rnacentral:rRNA from 1 species
GACGAACGCUGGCGGCGUGCUUAACACAUGCAAGUCGAACGGAAAGGCCCUGCUUUUGUGGGGUGCUCGAGUGGCGAACGGGUGAGUAACACGUGAGUAACCUGCCCUUGACUUUGGGAUAACUUCAGGAAACUGAGGCUAAUACCGGAUAGGAGCUCCUGCUGCAUGGUGGGGGUUGGAAAGUUUCGGCGGUUGGGGAUGGACUCGCGGCUUAUCAGCUUGUUGGUGGGGUAGUGGCUUACCAAGGCUUUGACGGGUAGCCGGCCUGAGAGGGUGACCGGCCACAUUGGGACUGAGAUACGGCCCAGACUCCUACGGGAGGCAGCAGUGGGGAAUAUUGCACAAUGGGCGGAAGCCUGAUGCAGCAACGCCGCGUGCGGGAUGACGGCCUUCGGGUUGUAAACUGCUUUCGCCUGUGACGAAGCGUGAGUGACGGUAAUGGGUAAAGAAGCACCGGCUAACUACGUG